rnacentral:rRNA from 1 species
CAGCAGCAGCCGCGGUAAUACGUAGGGUCCGAGCGUUGUCCGGAAUUACUGGGCGUAAAGAGCUCGUAGGUGGUUUGUCGCGUUGUUCGUGAAAACUCACAGCUUAACUGUGGGCGUGCGGGCGAUACGGGCAGACUAGAGUACUGCAGGGGAGACUGGAAUUCCUGGUGUAGCGGUGGAAUGCGCAGAUAUCAGGAGGAACACCGGUGGCGAAGGCGGGUCUCUGGGCAGUAACUGACGCUGAGGAGCGAAAGCGUGGGGAGCGAACAGGAUUAGAUACCCCCGUAGUCCCUGUCUCUUAUAC